rnacentral:rRNA from 1 species
AUUGAACGCUGGCGGCAUGCCUUACACAUGCAAGUCGAACGGCAGCACGGGAGCAAUCCUGGUGGCGAGUGGCGAACGGGUGAGUAAUAUAUCGGAACGUGCCCAGUAGUGGGGGAUAACUGCUCGAAAGAGCGGCUAAUACCGCAUACGACCUGAGGGUGAAAGGGGGGGAUCGCAAGACCUCUCGCUAUUGGAGCGGCCGAUAUCAGAUUAGCUAGUUGGUGGGGUAAAGGCCUACCAAGGCAACGAUCUGGAGUUGGUCUGAGAGGACGACCAGCCACACUGGGACUGAGACACGGCCCAGACUCCUACGGGAGGCAGCAGUGGGGAAUUUUGGACAAUGGGCGCAAGCCUGAUCCAGCAAUGCCGCGUGCAGGAAGAAGGCCUUCGGGUUGUAAACUGCUUUUGUCAGGGAAGAAAUCCUCUAGGUUAAUACCCUUGGGGGGAUGACGGUACCUGAAGAAUAGGCACCGGCUAACUACGUGCCAGCAGCCGCAGUAAUAC